GAUGAACGCUGGCGGCGUGCCUAACACAUGCAAGUCGAACGAAGCACCUUACCUGAUUCUUCGGAUGAAAGUUUGGUGACUGAGUGGCGGACGGGUGAGUAACGCGUGGGUAACCUGCCCUGUACAGGGGGAUAACAGCUGGAAACGGCUGCUAAUACCGCAUAAGCGCACGAGGAGACAUCUCCUUGUGUGAAAAACACCGGUGGUACAGGAUGGGCCCGCGUCUGAUUAGCUGGUUGGCAGGGUAACGGCCUACCAAGGCAACGAGCAGUAGCCGGUCGGAGAGGAUGAACGGCCACAUUGGAACUGAGACACGGUCCAAACUCCUACGGGAGGCAGCAGUGGGGAAUAUUGCACAAUGGGGGAAACCCUGAUGCAGCAACGCCGCGUGAGUGAAGAAGUAUUUCGGUAUGUAAAGCUCUAUCAGCAGGGAAGAUAAUGACGGUACCUGACUAAGAAGCUCCGGCUAAAUACGUG
rnacentral:rRNA from 1 species